CUCUUCCUACACUCUUCCUCUCUUAUUUUUUAUUAUUUAUAUACCCACAAAUCACCAUGAAAGACCAGUCCAGAUUACCACCAAAAAAUCAUAUUUUCCUCCAUUAAAAUUGCCAUGUAAAGCACCCAAACAUCACCAAAAACCAGCAACCAAACUCCAGCGAAAAUCAGUCCAAACAAGAGCUCAAACGUAACAAAAAUCCAGCAAAAACGCACCAGAAAUCAGCCUCCAAAACAGACCCAGAAAAUAGUCCCAAAACUCUACCAUCAAACUAGCCCUCUUCUCCGUCCAAAAACGACCCCAAAACAGCUGCUUCUUCCUCCCUAAAUAGCAUAAAACACAGCUGAAAUUCAGCUAAAAAAUAGCAGUAAAAAUAAAUGUCAAACUUACCCCCAUUAACGCCAUCUAAAGCUCCGCCAAAAGCCCAAAAAUGCAGCAGAAACUCUUCCCUGAAAUGCAGCAAAAUAAGCAGCAAAACUGCUGAAAACAACACACAAACACCCCAAAAUCGACCCAAAAACCGUCCAAAAAUCAAAGCCGAACAGAUCUAAAAAUCUGUUUAGAAACCACCUGAAAACCAGUCCGAAGAGUCACACAAAUCAGCCAAUCUCCACCCCAAAUUGGAGGGUUUUGUUGUUCAGAUCUGGGCAUGAAAAAGGACACGAUCGAGGUUCUAUUCGGCGAGGUUUCCAGUUGAGAUUCCGGUUCGUAGCUUCGGCGGUUCAACCCAAUGAUUGUUGAUAUAUUUAGCCCGAUUGAAUUGUAAAUUUUCAGCUUUGUUCAUCAAUAUAAAGGUUCAUUUUCAUCUUAUUUCGAUAUUUCAAGUUUGAUUCCAUGAUUAAAAGCAUGACUUGAUUUGUUUAAAUAUUUUUGAGUUCAUCAUUUAUGUUUGAUAUAUGAUUUGAUUGUUGGUGAUGAAUGGUUAUGUAAAUUAGACUUUGAGAUAAUACAUGAUGAUGGAAUAACAUUUGAAAAGUGAGGGCAUUUGAUUAUUUUUAAAUUGUUCUUUCUAAACCAAAUUGUCUUACUAUCUUUGUCAUGAAAUAGAUAUUGGAUAAAUUGAGUUUAAUGCCAAUUAUUACUAGAUCCGUUUGGGGAUCUUUCAAGAUUUGGACCAAGUGAUAUAAGUUCUGCCAGAAGCCCAAAAGAAAAACUAGGACGUCCAUAUUUAUCCAUAUGCUGGCCCAAAUUUUCUCAAACACAUGUAGCUAGCCCACUGUUCCAUAACUAAUUAAUCUAUUUCAUGCUUCUCUACAAUGACUUCCAUACUCUUAUGACCUUACAAUAACCUCAAAAUUAAUUUUAGAAAAUGAAUAAUAAUCAUAACUAUGAUAUGCUAACCCCAAUACAAGUGCGCGUUCACACGACUUGACCAAUCAACUUCGAAUAAUAAUAAAUGUGUUAUUAAAAUUGUACACGUACGCGUGACAUGAUUCUUGACAUGCCAAAUAAAAUGAGUAUACGUACUCGUGAUUUAUUUCAAGAUAAUUUUCAUAAAUCUAAUCAAGCAAUAAAAGCGGACAUAGGAAAAAAAAAUAUGAAAAUCAUAUAAAUCACAGUUUGACAAAAAUUAAUUCAAGCCAAGUUCAAGUCAAUAAAGCGACCAUGCUUGUCACGACCCAAUUUUCCCUCCGUUGGGUAUCGUGAUGGCACCUACUCUUAGGGACUAGGUAAGCCUAACAUUUACUGAAUAACAACCAUAAUAAAUAACAUCUAACAACUUGAAAUGGAAUUCUUUAUAAAAAAAUUUACAAUUUCCAAAACCGGUAGUACAAGUCAUAAGCUCUACAGAGAUUGCUACAAAUUUUUAAAUACAAUUGUUUGGAAAUAGGUAAAACAGUGUGAAUACAAAAUAGGAAGAUGACUCUGAAGCCUGGGAACACAGUAGCAGGUUUACCUUGAGUCUCCACAGCAAUAUUCCACACAGUUAGCUAAUGAUCAACUGACUUCGAAAUACCUGGAUCUGCACAAAAAUGUGCAGAAGUGUAGUAUGAGUAUACCACGGCGGUACCCAGCAAGUAUAAAGACUAACCUUAGUGGAGUAAUGACGAGGAACAGUCAUGACACCUACUGAACUAAAUGGCCUGAACAAAGUAUAAGUAUAGAAACAAUAGAUUAUAAUAUCUACAUAAAGACUACGCGGUAUGACUAACAAUACAGUAAUUGCAAUAGGAAAGGACAACAAUAAGUAUCAGCGGAAUACCAUAAUAAUGACAUAGAAGGAUGAACGUAAACAUAACCUAAAUCCGAAAUCACAGAUGCAACAAGAACAAAUAAUAACUCAGCAACAACGACCUCUUUCACAUCAGAUUUUAGUCAACAAACUCCACGAGGUACCGAACCUCGGACAAAUCAUAACUCAUGGGUAUCAAUACCUGAACUCUAACACUUGGCAUCUUGUGCCCUCAUUAUACCUCAUAACCGCACUGAUGACUCGCGUGCCAAAUAGAGCCAUUCUCACAUAGAAGGCCAAUAAGCAAGGGUGUGCAUUUAUACUCAACAAUAUCAAGAAAAAUCUCUUAUCCGAUAAGAGUUAUUAACUACGUAUAUGCUUGUGUAAAUGUCCUAACAUAGUUCAUACCAGCUAGUGAGCAUAAGGAAAAGAAUGGACAACACGUAGAAUGUUUUCUCACAACUUUCACAAGAUAAAGCUCACACAGGUAAGUGUACCACUACACAAAUAUCAACAACAAGAAUGCCCUCAUACCAUCACAAAUCAUCAUAAAUCAAUCCCUGACAUAGCCCACCUUGUCUCGCCACGUGUGCAAUAGUAAAAUAAAUGCCCGCCUUGUCUCGCCACACGUGCAAAAUAAUGUUCCCUCCUUGUCUCGCCACAUGCGCAACCCACAUAUAUAUAUAUAUAUAUAUAUCCCGCCUUGUCACACCUUAUGUGCAAAUAUCAAUAGUAACAAUAGCAUGACAGAAAUCUCGUGCAACCCCAUAACAAAGAGAUGUCAACAAAGGGCACUCGCGAGAUACUGUCUCGUAGUCCCAAAAGUAAAUGCUCAAAAGGGGAUCUCCCAAGGUACUGCCUCGUAGUCCCAAAAGUAAAUAUGCAAGACAGGGGGAUCUCCCGAGGUACCGCCUCGUAGUCCCAAAAGUAAAUAUGCAAGAUAGGGGGAUCUUCCGAGGUACUGCCUCGUACUCCCAAAGUAAAUAUGCAAGAACAACAAGUACAACAGCAACAAUAACAAUAGUACAAGGGUAUGCCAAAUAAGUCAACUCAAAAAUUUCAGAACUCAAAGAAAUGGAGGAAUUAAGUCACAAGGAGUGGCCGUAAUAAAGAAUACUAGUAAUAAUAAGAACAACUCAACAAGAAAGGAAAUAUUAUGUAACAACGGUCCAUAAUGUACAAUUCGACAACAAGAGAGCUAACACAAGUCGAAUGAUCCCAAAUAAGGACAAGUCAACUAAGAUAUAGGAUAUCUAAACUUCUUUUAAGGUUGGGCAAUUAUGAAAGAGACACAACAAAUUCAAUUAAGGAUAAGCAACAGAAAGAUAGUCAUAGUCUCAAUUAAGGAUGAACAAUUACAGAAGAGAUAAUUAUAACUUCAAAUAAAGACAAGCAGUUAGGGGAAAGAUAACAUGACAAUAGAAGAGAUAACAAUUUCAGUUAAGGCACAAAUGAAUCAAAUAAACAACAAGAGUGGAUCAUGAAGCAAUUAAUUAUAAUAAAAACAGGUAGAAGUGAAACUAGUAAUUAAGAAAUGUAAUCUUAACGAGAACAACUGCAUAAUCAGUGAAUACAAGGACCUAAGAGCCCUAAAAGGAUAACUUUCUACAAAUAAGUCCGAGCACGUACUCGUCACCUCGCGUACACGGAUUACAAUUAGCACAGAAGACUAAAAUCCUAAGGGGUAGUUCCCCCACACGAUGUUAGGCAAGAUACUUACCUCAACGAAGACAGACCGAUACUCAAAAAUGAACUUCUCGGGUGAAAUGACCUGCGAGCGGCUCAAAUCUAACCAAAAUAACUUCAAAGCACAAAUAAAACUCAUAAGAAACUAUUCUGGAUCAUAAAGCCUCAAUCUUUAUUAAAAUCUAAAAAUCGCCCCAAAAGUCGACCCCCGGGCCCGCACCUCGGAACCCGAUAAAUUUUACAAAAAUCGAACACCCAUUCCAAUACGAGUUCAACCAUACUAAAAUUAUCAAAUUCUGAUACCAUUUCGUCCCUCAAAUCAUGAUUUUUCAUUUUGGAAUUGUUCUUCAAAAACCUCCAUUUUCCUCAACUCAAAACACAAUUUAAAUGAUACAAAUGAAGAUAAAAUCAUGGAAUAUAUUAAAUUCUAGGUGAAGAACACUUACCCAAUCGUUUUGCUUGAAAACCCCAUAAGGAAGCUCCCAAAACUGAAGUCUAAAACUCAAAAUAUGAAGAAAAUGGCCAAACCCUCGACUUAAAUAAUUCUGCCCAGGACUUCCGCAUUUGCGGACAAGGAAGCGCAUCUGCGUUCUCGCAUUUGCGAGAAAUCAUUCGUGUCUGCGAACUCAGCUGGCCAGGCCUGGAUCCGCAUCUGCCGAAUUUAUGCCGCACCAGCGGCCCCGCAAAAGCACCAAAGGAAGCGCAGAAGCGAGCUUCUUCGCAGAUGCGAUCGCUGGACCGCAAAAGCAGCCUUCGCACCUGCGUGCUGGCCUCCAUAGAAGUGAGCGAGCCUCCAGGCCACCAUGACCGUAGAAGUGACCGGGCUCAUGUAGAAGCAGAGCCGCUAAACCUGCGCUCCAAAGUGUCACAGGUGCGAAAAUACCAGAACCAGACCUGUUCGAAACCAUGAAAAGCAUCUGAAACUCGUCUGAAACACACCCGGGGCUCCAGGGACCCCGUCCAAGCAUACCAGCAAGUUCCAUACCCUAAUACGGACUCGCUCGAGGUCUCAAAUCACAUCAAACAACGUCGAUUGACUUAAUGAACUUGAAGCUUCAAAUUUCUACAACUGAUGCCGAAACCUAUCAUACCACGUCUGAUUGACUUCAAAUUUUGCACACAAUCCAUAUUCAACAUUACAGACCUACUCUAACUUUUGGAAUCUGAAUCCGACCCUGAUAUCAAAAAGUCCACUUCCGGUCAAAAUCUCCAAAAAUUCGACUUUCGCCAUUUCAAGCUUAAACAGACCUCAAAUUCACAGUCUGGAUACGCUCCUAAGUCCAAAAUCACCCAACAGAACCCUCGGAACUCCAUUCCGGAGUCGUCUUCACAUAGUUCCGACUACUGUCAAAAAUCCUAAGGCUUAAGCUUCCGUUUUAGGGACUAAGUGUCCUAAAUCACUCCAAAUCGUCCGGUAAUUGAAUUCAACCACGCACGCAAGUCAAUACACAUAAUACGAAGCUGCUCAGGACCUUAUGCCGCCGAUCUGGACUUAAAUUCUCAAAAUGACCGGUUGGGUCAUUACAGUGCUAGAACUACGGGACUCGGAGAAUGCCUUACACCCUCUCCCCGGUCAACAGAAUUCCUUACCCGGACUUUAUUUUUGCAGACCAAUAAUAAUAGAGUCAAAUAUUCCUUUGACUAGGGAUUCAAAUAAAAGUUGACCUGGAACACCCAAAAAUCAAUUCCAAGUGGCAACUCUAUAAAUAAAAUAAUCCCUACUCAAAUUUGUCACUUUAAUUGAAAAAACUCUUUAACCCACAAUCCAUAACAUACAUAUAUAUUUUUGGGGUUAAAAAGGGGUGUGAAAGCUUUGGCGACUCUGUUGGGGAUUUCAAGAAUUCAAGCUUGUACAUUGACUUUAUUUGACUUUAUUAAGUUUUGCAUAUAUAGUGAUUUAUUUGGGCCAAAUGUGCUACUUGUCUACUUUUUACCGCUUUGAUAUUGUUGAACUGUACAUAUAAAUUGUCUUCCCACGCACCCCCUAUGAGUCUUCAGAAUAUAACCUUGGUAAUUGCGGAUGCGCCCCAUUCUUUUUUGAUAUAAAGCCGGUGGGCCUGGGCUCCCGGUGAAGGAUUAUUAGUCACCCAUGUUUAAGAACGGGGAGGGUCCAGUAGUUAAGCCGGAGAAGUAUUGCUCCCGGUACGCUACCCCUUCCCAACUCCAGUUGUCCGCUUGUUUUAUGGCCAGUCUAAAUACACCUCAUCCCCUAGAAUUUUUUAAAACCUAGAAGAACAAGCCACAUGCCUGGUUAUCCCUACUAGGAUCAUUUUGUUGCAUCAUUUGUAUUUGACUUAGCGAAACUUGGCGCGAGGUCCGACUCCGUAUAAGCCAGGUACCCUCUUUGAGACCAUAAUGUUCCCUAAUAUGCUACUUGCGACAUCAUUUGGAAGGCUUGCUUGCAUUGUUGACCGAUUUUAGAAAAUUAGUUGAUCGGAAAUGAAAAGAAAACAUUCCCCCCGCUUGGUAUAAAUAAUCCAUUUUUACUAAAAAAAAAAUAAUUUAUUUUGAAGUAGUAUGACGUGAGGUGUCCGAAAAAAAUAAUCUGCCGAGUCUUGACCGAACUAUGCGGGUCUGAUUCGCACUGGAUGUGAGAUACGUAGGCAACCUUUAUCGGGUCCGGCCCCAAUUUUCAAAAACGCAAACAAAUAUUUUCCUUUAGUUUCUUCUUUAGAAGUCUUUCUUUGAGACGUCAAGUCCAAAAAUCCAAAAAUAUUUUCUACCUUUUUUUAGAAGUCUUUCUCCCAAAAUAAAAAAAAAAUCAAUAUCCAAAAAUUAUUAUCUUUCUUUUGAAAUUUACAAAAAAAAAAAUGAAAAUCCAAGAUAUUAUCUUUCUUCUUUAGAAGUCUUUCUUUCAACAAUCCCCAAUUUUCAAAAAUCCAAAAAUAUUUUCCUUUAAAUCUAUCUUUGAGACAUCAAAUCCAUAAAUUUAAUUUUUUUUUUAAAUUCCAAAAUAUUUUCAUUCUUCUUCAAAAGUUUUUUCUUUCGAAAAUUAAAAAGAAAACUCUGAAUCCAAAAGUAUUUUCGAAAAUUCAAAGGAAAAAAAUUAAAAAUCCAAAAAUAUUCUCUUUCCUCUUUAAAAGUGAAAAAAAGAAAAAAAGAAGAAGAAAGAGCAAAAGAGUGUGUUCAUUCUAACAUGCUUGUUGUAUUGAAAUAAAAGAUAGUUAAAGGUGGUCGUUUUUUUGGUUUGCAAUGGUGAAUCACGAAAACAAUCCAAGAUCACUCUAUCAUCUUCUCAACCAAGGGAAUAAGCACCACUAUUGUUGAUCCAACUAAGGUCACGAAAAGGCAAGUACACAGUUUGGUGGUGAAAACUAGAGGGAAAUGUUGGUUGACUUUUACCAGGUUUGAGCAACAGGACAUGCUUUGUGUGAGACGAUCUGUGAGAAUAGGGAGAUAUGAGAAUUUUUCCAAAUCUUUUAGAAAAUUGGUUGCUAUGAAAUUUCUCAUGCCGCCAGUCCUGAAAUCCGACAGCCCAUAUUGGGAAUGGUUUGAUCAAAAAGUUGAAACUUGAAUACUGAUUCCAAAGCAAUCUUAUUGAAUUCCGUAGUAAUGUUGAUAUGCAAAUGCGUAGCUAAGAUGUCGAGCUUGGUAAUUGAAAAGUCAGUCCCCCCCCCCUUGCCGGGAAGGAGUCUUGGUAACUUAUUUUCUCAUAAUUUCUAUCAUCUGGAUUACUUCGAGGUGUGAUCCGGAUGUUGUUUGUUUGUCCUGUCAUCAAACCUCUCUAUCCUUUAAUCAAUAAAAUAUAACUUUUUACUUUAUGUCAUUUUAAUCCAUUGUGCUUAAUUCUUCUUGCAUAUAUAGUUCUAUUCAUGCCAAUUUUUGUGACAUGACAUGCAUGUGGAGUUUUCGGCUAGAUUUUAGAAAGCCUGUCCAAUCUUGAUUUGAAUCGAGGAAAAACACUUGGAUUUUAAGUAAGAGGUUGAAAAACUUUGAUGAUAUGCUUGUGUCAAGAUCACAUGGAACCAAAACAGUCAUAUCCGUAGAGGUUAAAGAUGUUUAUCUCAAACCUAUCAUGAAUACCAACCUAAUGUGAUGACCCAAUAUGUCAUCUUUAAUUUUAAACAUUCAUUUCUAUAUUCUGAGACCUCGAAUAGCACCCUUCAGUAUCCCUCGACUUGCGGGCACAGUCCGUAAAUUUUUCUGGAAAGUUUUUAUGUGAAAAAUUAAUUAAAAUGUGAAAUGGAGCUUCAAAACUCAUUUGAGUUUAUUUCGGUCAAUGUUUUGAGAAAAUGGAUCUAGAUCAGUAUUUUGACAGUUUCGGUAGGUCCGUAUCGUUAUUUGGGACUUGGGCGUAUGCCCAAAAUCAAAUUUAGAGGUCGCUACCUCGAAUUAUCGCAAUUUAACGGAAACUAGAAAUCUAAAGGCUUUAGAUUUCCAAAGUUUGACUGUGAAUUUGACUGUAUCAAUAUCGGACUCGCAUUGAGAAUCCGAGUGUUGGAAUAGCUCCGCUAUGUCUUUUAUGACUUGUGCGCCAAAUUUGAAAUCAUUCCGGAUUUAUUUAAUUCAUUUCGGCGCGGGUUUUGUAAAGUGAAAAGUUUGAAACUCAUAAGUUCAAAUCGAGGUGUGAAUUGAAAUUUCGAUUUUAUUUGACGUGAUUUGAGACCCCGAGUAAGUUUGCAUUAUAUUACGGGACUUGUUGGAAUAUUUGGUUGAGGUCCUAAAGGCCUCGGGUGGAUUUCGGAUGGUUAACAGAAUUUAAUUUGGAUAUUCUAGAAUGUUUCGACAUCGUUUCUUCAAGAAUAAAUGGUAUCACAUUAAGAAAAUGAGCUCCAAAUUCAGUUUUGAUUGAAGCAUUAUAUCCGUAUUGAAAUUUCGGAGCCAUAACAAAAAGAAUCGUCGAAUGCAGACAUUGUAUGAGAGAGUUAUGCCCAUUUUCGUGUCAGAAAAUAUUUCCUGUCGCCGCCAAUGCCCAAGGUAGCGUGGGGCGCUAGCCCUGGCGCUGGAUAUUGUUGGGGUUCUAGAAACUGCAUCACGUGCAGCUCACCACGCUACCUGUGGUGCUCAAAACAGCAGAGACUCUAUAAACGGGGAUUGUUUUGCUAUUUUUGACAAAAAUAGAGUUAAGGAGCCCGGUUAGGGCGAUUUUCAGAGGGUUUUUCACAAAUUCGAACUGGGUAAGUGUUCCUUAUCCUAUAUUGAUUAAAUUUCAUAAUUCCAUACUCAUUUACAUCAUGAAUCCGUGAAUUUAAUUGAAGAAAAUCAGUUUUUUGUAAAAUCUUCCAAAAAUGUAAAAUGAAGAUUUGAAAGGCAAUUCAUUGUCGAAAUUCAAUAAUAUUUGUAUGUCUGAACUCCUCUCGGAAUGGAUGUUUGGAUUCCGUGAUUUUUCGUCGGAUUCCGAAAAGUGGGAUCCACGUUGACUUUUAGUUGACUUUUUCCAAAAAUGACUUAAAUUAAGUCUCUUUCGAAUUGUGAAUAAUUUCUAAAGCUCAAAUUGAAUUGUUGGUAAUUAAAUCGCUAGGUUUGGUUGGUUUGGAGAAUAAUUCGAAAGGAAAAGUUGUGGUCGAGUGAACACUUGAACUGCGAAGCAAGGUAAGUGUCGUGGUUAACCUUGACUUGAGGGAAUAGAACCUUGAUUUAUUUGUUGCGUGAAAUUUAUGUGUAACGAUAUAUAGACGAGGUGACGAGUUCCUAUACGUCGUCAAAUCGAUUGUUUGCAUAUUUAUCUGAAAAUCAUAUAUUAUUUUAAAUUAUGAAUUAAUUAUUAUAAUAAUUAUUUCGCUCAUAUUCCUUAUCCAAUAUUAUGUCUUGAAUUCAUGCUAUAAUUGCUACAUGCUUAUUUGACUUAUGUGUCUUAAUUGCUACUUGACAAUUAGCAUAUUAAAUAUUAAAUUGCCUAUUUUCUUCCUGAUUUUUAUAAUUAAUUGCUAUUUGUCAUUACAUGUUUCCUAAAUAAAUCAUAAUCAUUGUAUGCCUUGUUGCCUAAUAAUUUCCUAUUGAAUGUGAUAUUUAUUGGAGUAUUUUUAUAUUUAAGAUUUGUUAAAUUAUAUUGUUGGAGCGGGUUGCAUGCCGCAACAGAUUUAUUUUAAGUUUAUAUUGUUGGAGCGGGUUGCACGCCGCAACAGAUAUAUUGAAAGUUUAUAUUGUUGGAGCGGGUUGCACGCUGCAACGGAAUUUAAUUGAAAGAUUAUAUUGUUGGAUCGGGUUGCACGCCGCAACGGAUUUAUUGAAAGUUUAUAUUGUUGGAGCGGUGUCACGCUGCAACGGAUUUNNNNNNNNNNNNNNNNNNNNNNNNNUUAUUGAAAGUUUAUAUUGUUGGAGCGGGUUGCACGCUGCAACGGAAUUUAAUUGAAAGAUUAUAUUGUUGGAUCGGGUUGCACGCCGCAACGGAUUUUAUUCUAAGUUUAUAUUGUUGGAGCAGGUUGCACGCCGCAACUGAAAUUAAUUGAAGGUUUAUGACUACUGAGUUGACUUCAAUUAUUGAUAUGGUUUACCGGUCUUACUUCUUUACCUGUUAUUAUUAUUAUUAUUGCUUAUAGGUUAAUGUAAGUGACCUGCCUUAGCCUCGUCACUACUUCGUCGAGGUUAGGCUCGGCACUUACAGAGUACAUGGGGUUGGUUAUACCCAUACUACACUCUGCACUUCUUGUGCAGAUACCAGAGUUGGUCCCAGCGGCGUACUGUAGAUUCACUCGGAUUCAGCUAUCAGAGAAAACUUGAGGUAGUGUUGCACGGCAUUCGGAACUCUGAAGUCCCCUUCUACUUUAUCUUAGUUGUGUGCUUUCUUUCAGACAACUAUAUUUUAUUCAAACCCUUGUUUGUAUUAUUCUAGAAGCUCGUGCACUUGUGACUCCUGUUCUGGGAUGGUAUUUAGACAUCGUAUUAUUUUUGGUUUGCACAUUUAAAUUCAGAUAUUUUUUCCGGUUGUUGGUUUCUAUACUAUUUAAUUAAGGUGAAUUGUUAAAAAUGGUUUAAAUUAUUCUAACUUUGGCUUUCCUAGCAAGUGAAAUGUUAGGUGCCAUAACGGUCCUGAAGGUGGAAAUUUUGAGUCGUGACAAGUUGGUAUCAGAGCAAUAGGUUACUUAGGUCUCACGAGUCAUGAGCAAGCUUAGUAGUGUCUGAAGGAUCGGUACAGAGACGUCUGUACUUAUCUUCCAGAGGCUAUGAAGUUUAGGAAUAAUAUCAUUUCUUUAUUAUUCCAUCGUGCGAUUUUAUUCUAUUAUCGAUGAUUGAACCAUUCUAUUCUUGUUCUCUCGCAGAUGGCGAGAACACGUACUACUUCUACUGCUAGACAGGAGCCAAAGCCCCCGGUGGAAACUAUGACCAGGGGUAGAGGCCGAGGCCAAGGUCGUGCCAGAGUCCGAGGCAGAGGCAGAGCCCAGCCUCGAACUCGAGCAGAAACACCUGUUGUAGAACCUCAAGUGGAUUUGGAAGCGGAGGUUCCAGCUCAGACAAUAACUGUUGGACCAGUCCAGGUCCCGGAAGGAUUCAUAGCUACUAUAGUACUUCAGGACGCUCUAGUCCGUUUAGUGAGCCUAAUGGAGAGUGUUGCCUAGAAUGGUACAUUUCCAGUGGCACCAGUCAUCUCACAGGCUGGGGGAGGUGCACAAACUCCCACUACUCCCGCUCCGGAGCAGAUAGCUCCCCAGUAUCAGGCUCCAACAGCCCCACGAGUUGGAGUAGUUCAUCCAGUUUUUGCAGCACAGGCCGGUGAUAGACCCGCCAUGUCUUCUGAGGCCCUAUUGAGAUUGGACAAGUUUACUAAGCUAUUUCCAGUUCACUUCAGUAGUACACCUACUGAGGACCCACAGGAUUAUCUUGAUCGCUGCCAUGAGGUGCUGCAGAACAUGGGAAUAGUUGAAAGCAACAAAGUCAAUUUUGCUGUGUUUCAGAUGACUGGUUCCGCCAAGAGGUGGUGGAGAGAUUAUGUAUUUACUAGACUAGCUUAUUCGCCUGCAUUUACCUGGGAGCAGUUCUCACAACUAUUUCUGGAUAAGUUUGUUCCUCUUACACUGAGAGAGGAAUACCGCCGGCAGUUUGAGCGUCUCUAGUAGGGUAGUAUGACUGUUACCCAGUAUAAGACCCAAUUUGUGGACUUAGCCAUCGUCUUGCUUCCUACUAAAAAGGAGAGAGUGAUGAGAUUCAUUGAUGGAAUCACUUAUACUAUCAGGCUUCAAAUAGCCAAUGAGACAGGGAGUGAUAUUUCCUUCCAGACAGCUGUGAAUAUUGCUAGGUGGAUCGAGUUAGUUCGUGCUCAGGAGAGAGGGCCAGUGUCAGAUAAGAGUCCCCGUCAUUCCGGUAAUUUUAGAGGCGCCUCAUCUGGAGGCAGGGGUACUUAUAGUAGGGGUUACCCUCCCAGUCCAUAUUAUUCAGCACUUCAGGCAUCUCAUGGUACUUCAAGGAGUCAUGGUCCUAUUAUGCCUUACUCUGGGCAGCCGACAUUUAGUGCAUAUCCAGCUCCUAUCAGUGCACCACUGCUCUAGAGUCACUACAUCGGUUAUCCGGCCCGUUUGGGUCAGCUUUAGCUUUAGUAGCCACAACAAUAGGAUGGGUGUUAUGAGUGUGGGAACAUUGGUCACAUCAGAAGAUAUUGCCCUAGGUUGUCGAGCAACAGAUCUCGGCAGGAUUCGCGUGCCAUCAUACCGGUACCGGUUGCUCCACCGCUCGCCCAACCAGCUAGGUGAAGGGGUCAGACAACUAAUGUUGGAGGUCAGGUUGUUAGAGGUGGAGGCCGGCCAGUUAGGGGCCGUCCCAAAGAUACAGCUCCGAGUGGUGGGGCCCAACCCCGAUUUUAUGUUUUUCCAGCUACGCCUAAGGCCGAGUCAUCCGAUGUCGUGAUCACAUGUAUUGUUCCAAUUUGCCAUAGAGAUGCUUCAGUUAUAUUUGAUUCAGGAUCUACUUAUUCAUAUGUGUCCUCCUAUUUUGCUUUAUAUCUGGUUAUGCCUCGUGAUACUCUGAGUGCUUCUGUGCGUGUGUCCACACCGGUGGGAGAUUUUGUUAUGGUAGAUCAUGUCUAUCGUUCGUGUGUAGUUACUAUUGGGAGUCUUGAGACUAGCGUAGAUCUUCUACUUCUUGAUAUGGAAGAUUUUAAUGUUAUCUUGGGAAUGGAUUGGUUGUCACCUUAUCAUGCUGUAUUGGACUGUCACGCCAAAACGGUGACCUUAGCCAUGCCGGGGUUACCUCAAAUAAAGUGGAAAUGGACUCCUGGCCAGUCCACCAGCAAGGUUAUCUCUUACGUGAAAGCUCGUCGUAUGGUCGAGAAGGGGUGUCUAGCUUAUUUGGCUUAAAUUCGUGAUCCCAAUGCGGAUGUUCCAUCUAUGGAUUUAGUCCAGUUGUCCGUGAGUUUCCAUAUGUAUUUCCUGUAGAUUUGCCGGGGAUUCCACCCGACAGAGAUAUUGACUUCUGUUUUAAUUUGGCUCCGGGCACCCAGUCCAUUUCUAUGACACCAUACCGUAUGGCCCCACGGGAACUAAAAUAAUUAAAGGGGCAGUUACAAGAUUUGCUUGAUCAGGAAUUCAUUAGGCCUAGCNNNNNNNNNNNNNNNNNNNNNNNNNGAUUUGAGGUCUAGUUACGAUCACAUGAAGAUUAGGGUAUCUGAUGUCCCUAAGACAGCUUUUCGGAGUUGGUAUGGGCAUUACGAAUUCCUAGUGAUGUCAUCUGGGCUCACAAAUGCCCCAGCAGAAUUUAUGGAUUUGAUGAAUCGGGUAUUCAAGCCAUAUUUGGAUUCUUUUGUGGUUGCAUUCAUUAAUGAUAUCCUGAUUUACUCCAACAGUCGAGAGAAGCAUAAACAGGAUCUUUGGAUUGUGCUUCAGACUUUGAAGAAUAAUCAGUUAUAUGCCAAAUUUUCAAAAUGUGAAUUUUGGUUAAACUCCAUUGCCUUUUGGGGCAUGUUGUAUCGAUAGAAGGCAUAAAAAUGGAUCCUAAGUAGAUUGAGACAGUUCAGAAUUGGCCUAGACCUAUUUCAGCUACAGAGAUCCGGAGUUUCCUGGGUUUGGCAGGUUAUUAUCGCCGGCUUGUAGAAGGGUUUUCAUCCAUAGCAUCCCCACUGACCAAAUUAACCCAGAAGGGUGCCCCAUUGAGAUGGUCAGACGAGUGUGAGUUGAGCUUUUAGAAACUCAAGACUGCUUUGACUACGACGCCAGUGUUGGUAUUGCCCACAUGUUCAGGAUCUUAUAUGGUGUAUUGUGAUGCAUCUCGCAUUGGGCUUGGUGCAGUAUUAAUGCAAGAUGGCAGAAUGAGUGCAUAUGCGUUGCGACAGUUGAAAGUUUAUGAGAAGAAUUACCCUGUUCAUGACUUAGAAUUAGCAGCCAUUAUUCAUGCGCUGAAACUUUGGAGGCAAUACCUUUAUGGUGUCUCGUGUGAAGUAUUUACCGAUCAUUGUAGCCUACAGUAUCUGUUUAAACAAAAAGCUCUGAAUUUUAGGCAGAGAAGAUAGAUGGAGCUAUUGAAAGACUACGAUAUUACCAUUUUGUAUCACCCCGGAAAAGCCAGUGUGGUGGCCGAUGCUUGAGUAGAAAGGAUGUGAGUAUGGGCAGCCUUGCAUAUAUUACGGUUGGUGAGAGGUCGUUAGCUGCAUAUGUUCAGACUUUGGCUAAUCAGUUUGUGAGGUUAGAUGUUUCUGAGUCCAGUCGGGUUCUAGCUUGCAUAGUCGCUCAGUCUUCCUGGUAUGAGCACAUCAGGGAGCGACAAUAUGAUGAUCCUCAUUUGCUUGUCCUUAAGGGUGCGACAUGGUGGUGCCAAGCAGGUUGCUGUGGGGGAAGAUGGAGUUCUACGAAUACAGGGUCAUAUUUGUGUGCCUAAUAUGGAUGGGCUUCGUGAAUUAAUUCUUGUAGAGGCCCACAGUUCCCAGUAUUCUAUUCAUCUGGGUGCCGCCACAAUGUAUCAAGAUUUGCGGCAAUAUUAUUGGUGGAGGAGAAUGAAGAAAGAUAUAGUUGCAUAUGUAGCUCGGUGUCUAAAUUGUCAGAAAGUCAAGUACGAACAUCAGAGACCUGGUAGUUUACUUCAGAAGUUAGAAAUUCCUAAGUGGAAGUGGGAGUGUAUCACUAUGAAUUUUGUUGGAUUCACACGGACUUAGAGGAAGUUCAAUGCAGUAUGGGUCAUUAUGGACAGGUUGACCAAGUCAACACAUUUCAUUCCAAUAGCAGUUACCUAUUCUUCAGAGCGGUUAGCGGAGAUUUACGUCUGUGAUAUUGUCCGCCUUCACGGUGUGCCCGUGUCUAUCAUUUCUGAUAGAGGUACGCAGUUCACCUCGUACUUUUGGAGGGCUGUACAGCGUGAAUUGGGCACGUGGGUUGAGUUGAGUACAUCAUUUUAUCCUCAUACGGACGGAUAGUCCGAGCGCACUAUUCAGAUAUUAGAAGAUAUGCUUCGCGCUUGUGUUAUAGACUUAGGAGGUUCUUGGGAUCAGUUCUUGCCACUUACGGAGUUUGCUUAUAAUAACAGCUACCAGUCGAGCAUUCAGAUGGCUCCGUAUGAAGCAUUAUACGGGAAGCGAUAUCGUUAGUGAGUUGGCUGGUUUUAACCGGGAGAGGCUCGGUUGUUGGGUACCGAUUUGGUACAGGAUGCCUUGGAUAAGGUCAUGAUUAUUCAGGAUCGACUUCGCACAGCUCAGUCUAGGCAAAAGAGUUAUGCCGACCGUAAAGUUCGUGAUGUUGCAUUCAUGGUUGGUGAAAGAGUGUUGCUCCGGGUUUCACCUAUGAAGGGUGUAAUGAGGUUCGGAAAGAAGGGCAAGUUGAGCCCUAGGUAUAUCAGACCCUUUGAAAUUCUUGAAAGGGUGGGUGAAGUAGCCUACAGGCUUGUACUACCACCUAGUUUAUCAGCAGUUCAUCCGGUGUUCCAUGUAUCUAUGCUCUGGAAGUAUCAUGGUGAUCCGUCCAAUGUGUUAGAUUUUAGCUCAGUCCAAUUGGACUAGGAUUUGAUUUAUGAGGAGGAGCCGGUAGCUAUUCUAGCUCGGCAGGUCCGACAGUUGAGGUCUAAGAGUUAUCCUUCAGUUCGGGUACAAUGGAGAGUUCAGUCGAUUGAAGCAGCUACCUGAGAGUCCGAGUCGGACAUGCGAAGUAGAUAUCCACACCUUUUCACCAGCUCAGGUAAUUUUCUAAUUCCGUUUGAGGACGAACGUUUGUUUUAGAGGUGGAGAAUGUGAUGACCCAAUAUAUCAUCUUUAAUUUUAAAUAUUCAUUUCUAUGUUUUGAGACCUCAAAUAGAACCCUUCAGCAUCCCUCGACUUGCGGGCCCAGCCCGUAAAUUUUUCCGGAAUGUUUUUAUGUGAAGAAUUGAUUAAAAUGUGAAAUGGAGUUUCAAAAUUCAUUUGAGUUGACUUCGAUCAAUGUUGAACAAACGGACCCGGAUUAGUAUUUUGAAUGUUCCGGUAGGUCCGUAUCGUGAUUUGGGACUUGGGCGUAUGCCCGUAAUCGAAUUCAGAGGUCCCUACCUUGAAUUAUCACCAUUUAACGGAAACUAGAAUUCUAAAGGCUAAAGAUUUUCAAAGUUUGACCGUGAAUUUGACUUUUUUGAUAUCGGACUCGAAUUGUGAUUCCAAGAGUUGGAAUAGCUCUGUUAUGUCAUUUAUGACUUGUGCGUUAAAUUUGAAAUCAUUUUGGAUUUAUUUAAUACGUUUCGGCGCGGAUUUUGUAAAGUAAAAAGUUUGAAACUCAUAAGUCUGAAUCGAGGUGUGAAUUGUAAUUUCGAUGUUAUUUGACGUGAGUUGAGACCCCGAAUAAGUCCGUACUAUAUUACGGGACUUGUUGGAAUAUUUGGUUGAGGUUUCGAGGGCCGAGGGUGGAUUUCAGAUGGUUAACGGAAUGUAAUUUGGAUAUUCUAGAAUGUUUCAAAGUCGUUUCUUCAAGAAUAAGUGGUAUCCCAUUAUGAAAAUGAGCUCCAAAUUCAGUUUUGAUUGAAGCAUUAGAUCCUUAUUGAAAUUUUGGAGCAAUAGCAAAAAGAAUCGUCGAAUUCGGACAUUGUAUGAGAGAGUUUUGCCUAUUUCCGUGUCAGGAUUGAUUUCCCGUCGCCGCCAGCGCCAAAGGUAGCGUGGGGAGCUAACCCUGGCGCUGGGAAUUGUUGGGGUUCUAGAAACUGCGCCACAAGCAGCGCCCCACGCUACCUGUGGCACUCGAAACAGCAGAGGCUCUAUAAACGGGGUUUUUGCCAUUUUUGACAAAAUAGAGUUAGGGAGCUCAGUUUGGGCGAUUUUCAGAGGGGUUUUCACAAAUUCGAACUGGGUAACUGUUCCUUAUCCUAUAUUGAUUAAAUUUCAUGAUUCUAUACUCAUUUACAUCAUGAAUCCGUGAAUUUAAUUGAAGAAAAUCAGUUUUUUGUAAAAUCUUCCAAAAAUAUAAAAUGAAGAUUUAAAAGGCAAUCCGAUGUCGGAAUUCAAUAAUUUUUAUAUGGUUGAACUCGUAUCGGAAUGAGUGUUUGGAUUCCGUGAUUUUUCAUCGGAUUCCGAAAUGUCGGACCCAUGUUGACGUUUUGUUGACUUUUUCCAAAAAUGACUUAAAUUAAGUCUCUUUCGAAUUGUGAAUAAUUUCUAAAGCUCAAAUUGAAUUGUUGGUAGAUAAAGGUUUGGUUGGUUUGGAGAAUAAUUCGUAAGGAAAAGCCGUGGUCGAGUGAUCACUUGAACUGUGAAGCAAGGUAAGUGUUGUAGUUAACCUUUACUAGAGGGAAUAGAACCUUGAAUUAUUUGUUGCGCAAAAUUCAUGUGUAACGACGUAUAGGCGAGGUGACGAGUUCCUAUACGUCGUCAAAUCGAUUGUUUGCAUAUUUAUCUGAAAAUCAUAAAUUAUUUGAAAUUAUGAAUUAAUUAUUAUUAUUAUUAUUUCUCUCAUAUUCCUUAUCCAAUAUUAUGUCUUGAAUUCAUGCUAUAAUUACUAUAUGCUUAUUUGACUUAUGUGUCUUAAUUGUCACUUGACAAUUAGCAUAUUAAAUAUUAUUUUUCCUAUUUUCUCCCUGAUUUUCACAAUUAAUUGCUAUUUGUCAUUACAUGUUUCCUAAAUAAAUCAUAAUCAUUGUAGGCCUUGUUGCCUAAUAAUUUCCUAUUGAAUGUGGUAUUUAUUGGAGUAUUUUUACAUUUAAGAUUUGUUAAAUUAUAUUGUUGGAGCGGGUUACACGCCGCAACAGAUUUAUUUUAAGUUUAUACUGUUGGAGCGGGUUGCACGCCGCAAUGGAUAUAUUGAAAGUUUAUAUUGUUGGAGCGGGUUGCACGUUGCAAUGGAAUUUAAUUAAAAUAUUAUAUUGUUGGAUCGGGUUGCAUGCCGCAACAGAUUUAUUGAAAGUUUAUAUUGUUGGAGCGGGUUGCACGUCGCAGCGGAAUUUAAUUGAAAGAUUAUAUUGUUGGAUCGGGUUGCACGCCGCAACUGAAAUUAAUUGAAGGUUUAUGACUGCUGAGUUGACUUCAAUUAUUGAUAUGGUUUACCGGUCUUACUUCUUUUCCUGUUAUUAUUAUUAUUAUUGCUUAUAGGUUAAUGUAAGUGACCUGCCUUAGCCUCGUCACUAAUUCGUCGAGGUUAGGUUCGGCACUUACAGAGUACAUGGGGUCGGUUGUACUCAUACUAUACUCUACACUUCUUGUGCAGAUACCGGAGUUGGUCCCGGCGAUGUACUAUAGAUUCGCUGGGAUUCAACUAUCAUAGGAGAUUUGAGGUAUAGCUGUACGAUGUUCGCAGCUCUGAAGUCCCCUUCUACUUUAUCUUAGCUGUGUGCUUUCUUUCAGACAACUAUAUUUUAUUCAGACCCUUGUUUGUAUUAUUCUAGAAGCUCGUGCACUUAUGACUCCAGUUCUGGGAUGGUACGUAGACAUCGUAUUAUUUUUGGGUCGCACAUUUAAAUUCAGAUAUUAUUCCGGUUGUUGGUUUCUAUACUAUUUAAUUAAGGUGAAUUGUUAAAAAUGGUUUAAAUUAUUCUAACGUUGGCUUGCCUAGCAAGUAUAAUGUUAGGCGCCAUCAUGGUCCCGAAGGUGGGAAUUUCAGGUCGUGACACUUAAGGAUAACUGAAUGUUUUGAAGUCUGGUUGGACUAAUCGAUAAAAGGAUUUUUGGCCACGACCUACCAUAAUCUAGUCAUAUUAGGGAAAAAAACCCAAAUCUCCAAAGGAGGUAUUCCAGUGAAUAUUUGAAUGGAUUAGCUGGUACUGAAGUGCGCCCUUCCACAUCAAGUCAAAGUCCAAGAAAAGGUGACUCCAAAUUGUCAGACGUCAUUUGUUGCAAACUAGAUAUUGACUACGGAGCUAUACAACUGACAAAACCAAGAAGACAGUCACGUCCAUGAAUGUUGAACCUGAGAAGAGAUAGAGGCUUUGGUAUUCUUGAGGAUGGGAGGCUCUUUUUCUUCUAUCCAAACACUUUAUAUCCUUCGUCACCCCUUUUUGAGCCUGUUUUAUUUUCCUUUGAUCUCCUCUCUUGGAAUCAAGUCUAGAGUCAAAAGACAAAAAGGUAAGAUAUAUAUAUAUAUAUAUAUAUAUAUAUAUAAACACAAAAUCAGCUGCGAAUCUGCUGAAAACAGCACAAAAACACCCAAAAUCGACCCAAUAACCGUCCA
rnacentral:lncRNA from 1 species